AGGACGAACGCUGGCGGCGUGCUUAACACAUGCAAGUCGAGCGGAAAGGCCCUUCGGGGUACUCGAGCGGCGAACGGGUGAGUAACACGUGAGCAACCUGCCCUUAGCUCCGGGAUAGCUCCGGGAAACCGGAAUUAAUACCGGAUAUGACCUAGGCCGACAUCGGCUGUGGUGGAAAGUUUUUCGGCUGGGGAUGGACUCGCGGCCUAUCAGCUUGUUGGUGGGGUAAUGGCCUACCAAGGCGACGACGGGUAGCCGGCCUGAGAGGGCGACCGGCCACACUGGGACUGAGACACGGCCCCAGACUCCUACGGGAGGCAGCAGUGGGGAAUCUUGCGCAAUGGGCGAAAGCCUGACGCAGCGACGCCGCGUGGGGGAUGAAGGCCUUCGGGUUGUAACCCCUUUCAGCAGGGACGAAGCGAAGUGACGGUACCUGCAGAAGAAGCGCCGGCUAACUACGUGCCAGCAGCCGC
rnacentral:rRNA from 1 species